AUCGUUCUCUCACACGAUUCGCAUUGACGAAUCCACCAUUUUCCAAAACGGAGUAGCGGUCCGCGGCAGCGAGGAGGACGGCGGCUCGCGCUACCUGCGCACAGCGGCGCGAGCGGGGCGCUUAUGGCAGCCAACAUGUACCGAGUGGGAGAUUAUGUCUAUUUUGAGAAUUCGUCCAGCAACCCCUUCCUGAUCAGAAGGAUAGAGGAGCUUAAUAAGACUGUUAACGGCAACGUGGAGGCCAAGGUGUUGUGUUUCUACAGACGCCGGGACAUAUCCAGUGCGCUUGUUGCUCUUGCGGACAAGCAUGCACGAGAGAUGGAACAGGAGAUGGAGAACCUAGACUUGCUCAGCCUCCCAGAGCAGCAGAAGCACCAGCUACGGCACAGAGAGCUCUUCUUAUCCCGCCAGCUGGAGUCUCUGCCUGCAACACACAUCAGAGGCAAAUGCAGCGUCACGCUGCUCAACGAAACCGAGAUACUCACGUCUUACCUGGAUCGAGAGGACUCCUUUUUCUACUCCCUGGUGUAUGACCCCCAGCAGAGGACUCUCUUGGCAGACAAGGGCGAGAUCAGGGUCGGGAGCAAGUACCAGGCAGAGGUUGCCGAUUCCCUGGUAGAUGAGGUGGACCAGGACCGGGACCAGUCCAAAUUGGAGGAGAAGGUGUGGGAUCCUAGCAGCACUCUGACCGAUAAGCAGAUCGACCAGUUCUUGGUGGUAGCUCGCUCAGUGGGCACCUUUGCUCGGGCCCUGGACAGCAGCAGUGCGGCCCGCCAGCCCAGCCUUCAUAUGAGUGCCGCCUCUGCCUCCCGGGACAUCACGCUGUUCCAUGCCAUGGAUGUGCUCCACAAGACGGGCUAUGAUAUAUCCCGAGCCCUAAGCGCCCUUGUACCCCAUGGGGGUCCGGUUCUGUGCCGGGACGAGAUGGAGGAGUGGAGCCCUUCUGAGGCAAGGAGGUUUGAGGAGGCGCUGGAGAAGUACGGGAAGGAUUUUGCCGACAUUCGGCAGGACUGCCUCCCAUGGAAGUCCCUCACAAGUAUUGUUGAAUUCUACUACAUGUGGAAGACAACGGACAGAUACGUCCAGCAGAAACGGUUAAAGGCGGCAGAAGCGGAAAGCAAGUUGAAGCAGGUCUAUAUCCCUAUCUACAACAAGCCCAACCCAAACCGGCUGAGUGGCGCUGGUGGGAAGACAAGCCUUGUAAAUGGUUCUGGGGUGGUGUCGAACCCUCUGGGCCAGGCUGUGGACCUCAGCCGGCCUUGUGAGAGCUGCCAUGCUGCAGCCUCUUCCCAGUGGUACUCGUGGGGUCCGUCGCUCAUGCAGUGCCGCCUGUGUGCCCCCUGCUGGGUGUACUGGAGGAAGUAUGGCGGGCUGAAGAUGUCCACACGGCUAGAUGGAGAUCGGCCAGGGCCCAGCAGCAUGAGCCCCCACAGCCAGCUGGAGAGAUUUGGUUCGAAUCCAAAGUUUGCACCAAAAACCAGGCAAGGCUUCUACAUGCAGACAUCCCAGCUGACGAGGGCUGCCAGGCGGGCGUGCCAUGAAAUGUUGCGGCCCAGACACCUCGCCCGCAACCCCUACACCCCACUGACCGCGGUCGCCGCAAGGGCAAAGUCAGGUGCAGCGCGGUGGCAGGAAGUGGCCAGGAAUUCCUUGCCUUUGAAGCCAGUUGUGCGGAAGCCCCUGGAAUCGGUGAUCAGAUACCUUGUGACCCACCCCAGGCUUCAGAAACCCAGAGCCCCUCGCAACAGCACCCAGUGCACAGAGAACCAGGUGCCUGUCAAGACAACCCCAACCCUCAACAACAGCUCUCCCACCAUCCUAGGCAGGAGGAGCUAUGAGCACCACAACGGGCUGGAUGGUAAACCUAACCAUGGACAAACCAGACAGAUGAGCGCUCUUCUCACACAGUGACGCAGAGCGCUGAAGGGUUUGCCUCAGGCAGCUUCACAUCUGUCUGGGGACCAUCCUGGAAAGUGCUGGAGCAUCCCUACUCAACUGACACUAGUGGACCCGGCAGCUUGUGCCUAUUGUCAGGUGUGUCUUUACCACAAUAAUGGGGGCUGUAACGUCCAGCAGGCGCAGUGUCUCUGGGCAGCAAUAUGUGCACUUCAACACUUCCUAGGGCUGAAGGAGAACAUUUGUGUAUAUUUAGUACAUAUUACACCUCUGGGCCAAAAAUGUCCUUUUAGUUCAUGUGUAUAUGUGAAAAUUCUAAAGAGUAGAUACACAUUUCUAAACUCAUUACGCUGCAUUUCUUUUAGACAGCCAGUUAAACUAGCAUUUUGGUGCUCCUCUCAGCAAAAGAGGGAAUUUUUCUUGUUAAAUAAAAAUUAACCAAAUAACGUAAGAAUUUUAUGUCCGCCAUCAUAUAUUUUUGAAUUUGUUUUAAUAUUGUUUAAUCCAAUUUUAUUGUAUACCUUAAAGGUACACAUAGGGCCAUUAGGUGGUGUAGUGGUGAGAGCUGCCGCUGUGGACCCAAAAGACCAGAGUUUGAAUCCCCACUCCUGCUGUAGUACCCUUGAGAAAAAGGGGAGGAAAGACAACCCUGCUGCCCUCUUGGAUUUGCCAUAGUCCCACGUAGGGAUGCUCCAGACCUCACUCAGGGUGCUCGGUCUGCUCUGCUUUUCUGUCUAGCCUCCUCUUCUUUCUCCGUUUGUGAAUCACUGCCAUUCACAGGAAUAGUUAAAUGUUCAUCUCACUGUAAUGUAGCUUUUUAUUCCCACUUUGUACACAGACAGUGUGCUCAUUCAAAAAAUACCACGUGUUUGUAAUCAUUUGUGUGGUAUAAACUUUAAGCUCAUGAGUCUGGCAAUCCCACUGGAUUUAGACUGGACGUGCCCAUAGAUGUCCACAUGGAUUUUAAGAAACAAUCAUUGUUCAGAUCAAGAUGAAUUGGACAUCUGGGCUGAAUAUUUAUAUUUCACAUGACUCCUAAAUAGUACACUAUAAUGUGUGCACUACAGUAAGUCCUCAACUUUCGAACAUGAUAUUUUUGUGAAAAACACAGGUGACAUUUGCCUUUGCAAUGGCAGUUUUCUCAGCUUCGUUAACUUAUUUUACUAUUUUCGCUUUCCUUCACAUAGUACCUGUGCAUUUUUCUUACAAGCAGUAUAUUGUUUUCAUAAUGCUCUGCUGGAGGAAUUAAAAAAAAGAACAUGAGAAAUAUGCUGCAGUGAUGUGAAUGCCAAGCUGCCCCAGCACUGGUGGCAGCUUAGCUGGGCAUGCUGGAACUUCUGGGAAUUCUGGGGCUGCCAAUGAAUCCUGUUUUCAGCGAUGUGGUGAAAUUAUUGCUUGGUGCAGGAAAUUGGACAUACCGUAUGUCCAAGUUUGUUUGUAGUGGACAUACGGUCAGGUGCGUUUGUAUCUCUGAAUGUUUAUAAGUCGAGGACUUACUGUAUAAUUGACAUAUAUGAUAUCUUUGAAAAAAAUGGAUGGCCAGUUACCCAAUGACUUUGUCACACAGAGCUGAUCAACAGGAGUAACGUGACUGCGGUAAUUCUUGUUGAAGAAGCAGUCUAGGAGCUGCCUUAGUUGAGGUGGCAAGUGUGAAGCCCCGGGGCAUCUUUGGAAGGGCCUGCCAAAAAGGCCAUCUGACCCAGAAAUCAUUUCAGCCCCCC